rnacentral:tRNA from 1 species
AGAAACUUAGGAUAACUAUUCAAACCGAAGGCCUUCAAAGCCUUAAACAAGAGUUAAACCCUCUUAGUUUCUG